UGUUCCCAUCUUAUUCCAAAUUGCAGCAUAUUUCUCGUAUGCUGUGGGGAAAGAGGCCAUGAAGUGAAAUGCAAAUGCUACACCUAAUGGAGCAUGAUGGGAAUUAUAUUCAAUGUGAAUCUUGAAGAAGUGUGUUUUAAUUCAAGUCUUGACAGAAAGUAAUUUCCAUAUGAGUGUGUCUCCACUUAUAGCAGGGAAUAAAUAGAAAAACGGGUUUUGCAUUGUGGAAUUCCUUGAUCGAGUAUUCAAGAACACAUCCUGUCUAUAACAUUGGGGAAUGCUGUACCGAUCCAGAAAUAAGGAGAAGGGGUUGCAUAAUAUUAAGAUUAAAUUUGUACCAGAUAACAUUUACAUAGCCAGUGUAAGUUAUAACUAGCCAGAUCUGUUAUUUUAGAAUCAAAAGAUUUUACAAUGUUAAAACAAGAACCCACCACUGAAAAAUAUCUAAAUUAAAUAUGAUCCAUGAUAGAGUAAACUAUUUCCAUAAUAUCCACAUAAUAUUAUGUUACUGAGUCUGUGUUAACCUUUUGAGCAUUUUCCAUGAGGUGUUCCCACCAAAAUUCUAUAUGUUUCUUGUUUUACUGCCAAAAUUAUUUAUCUAGUCUGUUCAUAACCUUGGUAGUACUAGAAAGAGAGUAUAAAUUGUGAAGUUUCAUGAGUUUCUUCAUUCUCUCAAAUAAUUUUGGGAAGGUAUCUCAGAAUAGGAUUCUUGUGCUGUAUCUGUACUUAGUGAUUUAAAAUCCUACAGUCAGACAUAUUUAUAAUACAUCUGUGGCAGCAGUAUGAGACUGUUUUCAUGCAGAGCAUUCGCACAUUCACAGAAUAUUUAUUUGGUCAAGAAGUGGUUGCCAGCACUGGAGAAGAAGUUGGAGCAUUACAGUCAGGGUUCCCAUCCAGACUAUCGUGUGUUUAUGAGCGCUGAACCUACAGGCACUCCUGCAACCCAUAUAAUUCCACAGGGAAUCUUAGAAUCUUCAAUUAAGAUAACAAAUGAGCCACCAACAGGUAUGCAGGCAAACCUUCAUAAAGCUCUGGAUAACUUCAACCAAGAAGCCCUUGAAAUGUGCAGCAAGGAGGCAGAAUUCAAAGCUAUCCUGUUCUCUCUCUGUUAUUUCCAUGCAGUUGUGGCAGAGCGCAGAAAGUUUGGACCUCAAGGAUGGAAUAAGAUAUACCCAUUUAAUGUAGGUGACCUGAACAUCAGUGUCAAUGUUCUGUACAACUAUCUGGAGGCAAAUUCCAAGGUUCCAUGGGAAGACCUGAGGUAUUUGUUUGGUGAAAUUAUGUAUGGUGGCCACAUUACUGAUGACUGGAACCGACGGCUCUGCAUCUCAUAUUUGGAGGAACUCGUGCAACCCGAACUGGUUGAUGGGGAACUGACGUUGGCUCCUGGUUUCCCAGCACCUCCAAACACUGAUUACAUAGGAUACCAUGCAUACAUAGAUGAGAUGAUGCCUCCAGAAUCACCAUAUUUGUAUGGAUUGCAUCCAAAUGCAGAAAUUGGUUUCCUCACCACCACCUCUGAGAACCUGUUUCGGACAGUGUUCGAGAUGCAGCCACGUGAUGCUGGAGCUUCAGGUGGAGCCACUGUCACUCCAGAAGAGAAGGUAAAACAAAUUGUUGAUGAAAUAUUAGAGAAGCUACCUGUUGAUUUCAACAUGUUGGAGAUAAUGAACAAGGUAGAGGAGCGAACACCUUAUCUCAUUGUUGCUUUCCAAGAGUGUGAGCGUAUGAACUACUUGACAGGAGAGAUGAAGCGCUCACUGAAGGAACUGGAUUUUGGACUCAGAGGUAACUGACGAUUACUGGUGACAUGGAGGAACUCCAGAAUGCUCUCUUCCUUGACCAAGUACCUCGCAUAUGGACCCAACGAGCAUACCCAUCUCUCCAAGGUCUCAGUGCCUGGUUUGCUGACCUCCUAAGACUAAGAGAACUGGAGACCUGGUCUUCAGAUUUUGUGGGAAUGAAGGUUAUGUCUUCUGCAUGCAAAACCAUCCAGCCUGGUUCAGAGGAAGCUGUUCUCCAUCUUCAGGAAGGAAGGGUUGAAAGUUCCUCCGACGCUUUGGUAUUGAUCUUCCAGACAGUACAUUGUCCCAAUCCAAAAGACAGUAUUCUUCAUAGUCAACAUCAUGAGACCCUCAAAUGUCACAUUGUGCAAUUAAGACACCAUUGUCCAUGUACUGGAGUUAACAGGGAGUGACUCUGAAAACACAAGGUUGCAGGAGUAGUUAGAAUUUUAUAUGGAAUUUGUUAUUCUCUUGUUCAUGUUCUGAAUAUACAGUGUGUGAUUCACAAUAAUAAUUGAUGACCAUCGUGAGGAAUAAGAUUCUGAUUUAAAUAGUAGACCUGUUGAAAAUUUAUAUCACCAAUUUUAAACACAAAUUCACUGCGUCCUGAAUACCACUGCAUGCUUUGGUGCUUUGUACUAGAAGACUGUGUAACCAAAAAUAUGUAAGAAGUCCAAAUAUUUUUUUCAACACUUUCUCAGAUACCUUCAACCUAUGGUCUUCACUUAGGUUGUGAGGCAAAGUUUCAGAUAUAUACAAAACAACAUUUAAAUUAUAGGUUUCAUAUGUUCUGAUUUUUAAGUUUUUUAGAUAAGGGAUGUGAAGAGAGAAGAUUCUAAACUGAAUGGUUGCAAGCAUUUCCCAUAUCCAGUCAGCUCUUACUUUCCUCAUUAAUAUAAUUUUCGUUUGUUAAGUAUGAAUCCCAAAUAUCUGGACUUUUGUGUUUCCUUUCAGCUACCAUUAUCUGUUUGGUUGUCAGGUUUCUUUAACCCACAGUCCUUCCUGACUGCUAUUAUGCAGUCCACAGCCUGCAAGAAUGAGCUGCCUCUGGACAAAAUGUGCCUCCAGUGUGAUGUAACCAAGAAGCAUAAAGAAGACUUCUC